rnacentral:rRNA from 1 species
GAGUUUGAUCCUGGCUCAGAUUGAACGCUGGCGGCAGGCCUAACACAUGCAAGUCGAGCGGCAGCACGGGUACUUGUACCUGGUGGCGAGCGGCGGACGGGUGAGUAAUGCCUAGGAAUCUGCCUGGUAGUGGGGGAUAACGCUCGGAAACGGACGCUAAUACCGCAUAAUCUCACCGGCAGUAGAGGCGGGUGAGGAAAGCCUUCGGGCGCUCGAGGGGGGGGCUGCGGCCCAUCAGGUGGUUGGUGCGGUAACGGCGCACCAAGCCGGCGACGGGUCGGGGGUCUGAGAGGAUGACCCCCCACACUGGGACUGAGACACGGCCCAGACUCCUACGGGAGGCAGCAGUGAGGGAUCUUGCACAAUGGGGGCAACCCUGAUGCAGCGACGCCGCGUGGGUGAGGAAGGCCUUCGGGUCGUAAAGCCCUUUUCUGCGUGACGAGGAAGGACGGUAGCGCAGGAAGAAGCGUCGGCUAACUACGUGCCAGCAGCCGCGGUAAAACGUAGGACGCGAGCGUUAUCCGGAGUUACUGGGCGUAAAGGGCGUGCAGGCGGGCGCGCAAGUCACGCGUGAAAGUCUUCGGCUCAACCGAGGGAGAGCGGGUGAUACUGCGCAUCUAGAGGGCGCUAGAGGGACACGGAAUUCCGGGUGUAGUGGUGAAAUGCGUAGAGAUCCGGAGGAACACCAGUGGCGCAGGCGGUGUUCUGGGGCGCACCUGACGCUGAGACGCGAAAGCAUGGGGAGCGAACGGGAUUAGAAACCCCGGUAGUCCAUGCCGUAAACGAUGCCGACUAGCGGU